rnacentral:rRNA from 1 species
CAGGCUCUUCGGAGAAAUAACACAAGGCAUUUGGUUCUGUCACGUCCAGGUAAAAAUGUGAUUGACUGCAAGUGGGUGUUUAGGAUAAAAAGAAAGUCUGAUGGGACAAUAGAUCGAUAUAAAUCUAGGCUUGUUGCUAAAGGUUUCAAACAGCGAUAUGGCAUUAAUUAUGAGGAUACUUUUAGUCCAGUUGUCAAGGCUGCCACUAUCCGUCUUGUGUUGUCUAUUGCUGUAUCAAGAGGAUGGAGUCUCAGACAACUAGAUGUGCAGAACACGUUUCUUCAUGGUGUUCUAGAAGAGGAAGUAUAUAUGAAGCAACCUCCUGGGUUUGAAGAUAAAAGUAAACCAUCUUAUGUUUGCAGACUUGACAGGUCUCUCUAUUGA